ensembl:lncRNA
GCUCAUGCAGACAUGUUUCAGUAUAGCUGUGCAUUGAUAUUUGUUCUGAGUCGUGUGUCUUUUCCCAUGUGUGCAAUUCCCUGUCUCAGUCUCUGUGCUUCCCUGGAUUUCCUUUCCAUUUCUCCAUCUAUGCUGUGCGCAGUUACCUGGAUUUGUGCAUGUACGUACCUCCCUGCUUUUAUUGUUUGAGGGUUGUAUUUUUAAUGGGGUGGGUGCUGGUGAAAUUGUUCAUCAUUUUGCUUUGUAUUUAUCUUUCAGUGUUUUCCCUAUGUUUGCAUAAAGUAGAUGCAGACUACAAUUUGGUGAUGAAUCCUAUGAAUACUAAUCUUAGGCUACCCUUGACCCUAGGGUCAGCUAAAGAUCAAAACCAAACCAUUUAAUAUUUUCCUUUUGCAGAUCAAUAGAAGCAUAAAUUCACUCUCAAUGACAACUAUAAUUUCAAACAGAUCUAUAGGAGGCAUGUAUGCAUUUCCAGGAUGAGCUGCUCAUGUGCCUGUUGGGGAGCACAAGAAAAAGAGUUUCUCUGUUGUUGUGGGUUUGGGGGAUUUUUUUUACCAUUUAAUCUCUUUUGCCUUUUUUCUUUUAUUGCUCUGAAAUGCUAUUUUCAGCAGCGCCUGUCAUAUAAAUAUCUCUUGUUUUUCUUCUCCUCUUUCCCUCCUAGUGAAAAGGGCAGGGGACCUAUUGAAAAUUCUGCUUUAUCUCUUUCAGGAGAGUUCAAGUGCGGGUCGAACAAUCGAUUCCUCCUCCUUUUCUUUUUCAAGUUUCCUGUCGUUCUUUUGCCCAGAUCAGCACUGAAGGAAAAUAGGAAGCGUUGCCUGGAGUCUGGGAUUGACGUUCCUGCUGGACAAACUCCAGGCUAAUGAAGCAAGCUCGAGCCCUAUAAUUCACGGCGAGCUGCUUUGAUGGAGCACUUUCAGUGUUAACAGUGUGAUCGGUGCUUUUUGGAGCUAAUGCCUCACUGAUAUUAACAGCCAUGCCAUAGAGCAAAAUCUGCAAUGUAAAAGUGAGUAGCUUGCUAAAUAUUUACAGGCAUGCACAUCUCGCUGUCCCGUUCAUUUCCUUGACUUUCAUGAAGAGGGAUGAGAAAGGAGAUACCAGAGAAUGGUCCCCUCUGAGGUAUAAAUGCACUAGAUCCAGGCUGGCUCCCCAGCUGCUGAUAGCAAGACCUUGAGCUGAGAUCCCACUCCUUCCUCCCCAGCAGUUCAUAAAAUUAAGUAAAGCCACCACAUGCAGUGGGCACGCUUUGGCCUGAACUUUCUGAGCAGGGAGAGAGGAAUAGUUCCCAAAAGGAGAAGAGCCUUAUUAUGAACUGUGUGUAGGUCACUGAGGUAUUUCACUACAGAUCAGCAUAGAAGCUAGUUAGAUCUCCAAACUCCCAAAAGUUGAUCCCAGGCACAGCUGUUCCCAGAAGAAGGCAGCAUUCCUGGAGAAUUAAAGAUGGGAACCAAUUAAGAAGACUUCUCAGUUCUGCAUCCAGCUCUGCCACUUACGUGCUGGAUGAUUUUGGGCAAGCCUCUUCCCAUCUCUGCACCUCGGUUUCUCCUGACAGAAUUUAAAAUAAAUACACGGACGGGUGUAGCA